rnacentral:rRNA from 1 species
UACGUAGGGUGCAAGCGUUAAUCGGAAUUACUGGGCGUAAAGCGCGCGUAGGUGGCUUCGUAAGUCCGUUGUGAAAGUCAAAGGCUCAACCUUUGAAAGCCGAUGGAUACUGCGGAGCUAGAGUACGGAAGAGGCGAGUGGAAUUCCUGGUGUAGCGGUGGAAUGCGCAGAUAUCAGGAGGAACACCAAUAGCGAAGGCAGCUCGCUGGGACGUUACUGACACUAAGGCGCGAAAGCGUGGGGAGCGAACAGG